UUUCCCAUGGAGUUAAUCCAGUAAGACCCCUUAGAGAUGAUGAGGUUGAUAGGUCUGGUGUGGAAGCAUGGCGACAUGUGGAGCUGACAGAUACUAAUCGGUCGAGGACUUAUCCAAAUU
rnacentral:rRNA from 1 species